AGCAGCCGCGGUAAUUCCAGCUCCAAUAGCGUAUAUUAAAGUUGUUGCAGUUAAAAAGCUCGUAGUUGAACUUCGGGGUUCACCCAUUGGUCAGGCUUAAUUGUCUGUACUGGUGAGAUGAGUCUCUACCUUCUGAGGAACUUUCAUGCCAUUUGUUUGGUGUGAUUGGAAAUCAGGACUGUUACUUUGAAAAAAUUAGAGUGUUUAAAGCAGGCUAACGUCUGAAUACAUUAGCAUGGAAUAAUGAAAUAGGACGGAUUGAUUCUAUUUCGUUGGUUUCUAGGGUCACCGUAAUGAUUAAUAGGGAUAGUUGGGGGCAUUAGUAUUCAAUUGUCAGAGGUGAAAUUCUUGGAUUUAUUGAAGACUAACUACUGCGAAAGCAUUUGCCAAGGAUGUUUUCAUUAAUCAAGAACGAAAGUUAGGGGAUCGAAGACGAUCAGAUACCGUCGUAGUCUUAACCAUAAACUAUGCCGACUAGGGAUCGGACGCAGUUAAUUUUAUAAUGACGUGUUCGGCACCUUACG
rnacentral:rRNA from 1 species